UACGUAGGGGGCAAGCGUUGUCCGGAAUCAUUGGGCGUAAAGAGCGUGUAGGCGGUCCGGUAAGUCGGCUGUGAAAGUCCAGGGCUCAACCCUGGGAUGCCGGUCGAUACUGCCGGACUAGAGUUCGGAAGAGGCGAGUGGAAUUCCCGGUGUAGCGGUGAAAUGCGCAGAUAUCAGGAGGAACACCGGUGGCGAAGGCGGAUCUCUGGGCCUUACCUGACGCUCAGGUGCGAAAGCUAGGGGAGCGAACAGG
rnacentral:rRNA from 1 species